rnacentral:rRNA from 1 species
CCUACGGGAGGCAGCAGUGGGGAAUUUUGGACAAUGGGCGCAAGCCUGAUCCAGCCAUUCCGCGUGCAGGAUGAAGGCCCUCGGGUUGUAAACUGCUUUUGUACGGAACGAAACGCGCUGAGUUAAUACCCCGGCGUAAUGACGGUACCGUAAGAAUAAGCACCGGCUAACUACGUGCCAGCAGCCGCGGUAAUACGUAGGGUGCAAGCGUUAAUCGGAAUUACUGGGCGUAAAGCGUGCGCAGGCGGUUGUGCAAGACAGAUGUGAAAUCCCCGGGCUUAACCUGGGAACUGCAUUUGUGACUGCACGGCUAGAGUGUGUCAGAGGGGGGUAGAAUUCCACGUGUAGCAGUGAAAUGCGUAGAUAUGUGGAGGAAUACCGAUGGCGAAGGCAGCCCCCUGGGAUAACACUGACGCUCAUGCACGAAAGCGUGGGGAGCAAACAGGAUUAGAUACCCUGGUAGUCCACGCCCUAAACGAUGAUGACUAGUUGUUGGGGGAGUUAAAUCCCUUAGUAACGCAGCUAACGCGUGAAGUCAUCCGCCUGGGGAGUACGGUCGCAAGAUUAAAACUCAAAGGAAUUGACGGGGGCCCGCACAAGCGGCGGAGCAUGUUGCUUAAUUCGAUGCAACGCGAAGAACCUUACCUAGGCUUGACAUGCACGGAAAUCCCGCAGAGAUGUGGGGUCCGUAAGGGCCGUGCACAGGUGGUGCAUGGUUGUCGUCAGCUCGUGUCGUGAGAUGUUGGGUUAAGUCCCGCAACGAGCGCAACCCUCGUCCUAUGUUGCCAGCACGUCAUGGUGGGGACUCAUAGGAGACUGCCGGGGUCAACUCGGAGGAAGGGUGGGGGAUGACGUCAAAUCAUCAUGCUCCUUAUGUCUAGGGCUGCAAACAUGCUACAUGGCCGGUACAAGGCUGCGAUACCGCGAGUGAGCGAUCCCAAAAGCGUCUCAGUUCGGAUUGGGGUCUGCACUCGACCCAUGAGUUGGGAGUCGCUAGUA